AUUGAACGCUGGCGGAAUGCUUUACACAUGCAAGUCGAACGAUGAAGUCUAGCUUGCUAGACGGAUUAGUGGCGAACGGGUGAGUAAUAUAUCGGAACGCAUCCAUUAAUGGGGGAUAACUAGUCGAAAGAUUGGCUAAUACCGCAUACGUCCUACGGGAGAAAGCUAGGGACCUUCGGGCCUGGCGUUAAUGGAGCGGCCGAUAUCUGAUUAGCUAGUUGGUGAGGUAAAGGCUCACCAAGGCGACGAUCAGUAGCUGGUCUGAGAGGACGACCAGCCACACUGGAACUGAGACACGGUCCAGACUCCUACGGGAGGCAGCAGUGGGGAAUUUUGGACAAUGGGCGCAAGCCUGAUCCAGCCAUUCCGCGUGAGUGAAGAAGGCCUUCGGGUUGUAAAGCUCUUUCGCAAGGGAAGAAAACUUACCCUCUAACAUAGGGUGAGGAUGACGGUACCUUGAUAAGAAGCACCGGCUAACUACGUGCCAGCAGCCGCGGUAAAAC
rnacentral:rRNA from 1 species